rnacentral:snoRNA from 1 species
AUGCAUCUCUGACAGCCCUGGAGCAGUUCCUGUCUGCUGCGAAGGUUUCCACUACAGAUGCAAGAAAAAGAAGUCCUUGCACUUUCUGUCUGUCUGGUUGUGGCAAAUAUAUUU